AAAGUCGUAACAAGGUUUCCGUAGGUGAACCUGCGGAAGGAUCAUUAAUAAAUGAGCGCAAGCUUUUCUAUUAUCUUUCUACACCUGUGAACUAUUUGCCUUUGGGCACUCUUACAAACAUAAUGUAAUGAAUGUAAUCUACUAUAAACAAAUAUAACUUUCAACAACGGAUCUCUUGGCUCUC
rnacentral:misc_RNA from 1 species